AUUGAACGCUGGCGGCAGGCCUAACACAUGCAAGUCGAACGGAGUGGCGGACGGGUGAGUAAUGUCUGGGAAACUGCCUGAUGGAGGGGGAUAACUACUGGAAACGGUAGCUAAUACCGCAUACCAUCAGAUGUGCCUAGGUGGGAUUAGCUAGUUGGUGGGGUAAAGGCUUACCAAGGCGACGAUCCGUAACUGGUCUGAGAGGAUGAUCAGUCACACUGGAACUGAGACACGGUCCAGACUCCUACGGGAGGCAGCAGUGGGGAAUAUUGGACAAUGGGCGAAAGCCUGAUCCAGCCAUGCCGCGUGUGUGAAGAAGGUCUUCGGAUUGUAAAGCACUUUAAGUUGGGAGGCGUUACCAACAGAAUAAGCACCGGCUAACUUCGUGCCAGCAGCCGCGGUAAUAC
rnacentral:rRNA from 1 species